AAAGCAGGGGAUCUUCGGACCUUGCGCUAAUAGAUGAGCCUAAGUCGGAUUAGCUAGUUGGUGGGGUAAAGGCCUACCAAGGCGACGAUCUGUAGCGGGUCUGAGAGGAUGAUCCGCCACACUGGGACUGAGACACGGCCCAGACUCCUACGGGAGGCAGCAGUGGGGAAUAUUGGACAAUGGGGGGAACCCUGAUCCAGCCAUGCCGCGUGUGUGAAGAAGGCCUUUUGGUUGUAAAGCACUUUAAGCGAGGAGGAGGCUCCUUUAGUUAAUACCUAAAGAGAGUGGACGUUACUCGCAGAAUAAGCACCGGCUAACUCUGUGCCAGCAGCCGCGGUAAUACAGAGGGUGCGAGCGUUAAUCGGAUUUACUGGGCGUAAAGCGUGCGUAGGCGGCUUUUUAAGUCGGAUGUGAAAUCCCUGAGCUUAACUUAGGAAUUGCAUUCGAUACUGGAAAGCUAGAGUAUGGGAGAGGAUGGUAGAAUUCCAGGUGUAGCGGUGAAAUGCGUAGAGAUCUGGAGGAAUACCGAUGGCGAAGGCAGCCAUCUGGCCUAAUACUGACGCUGAGGUACGAAAGCAUGGGGAGCAAACAGGAUUAGAUACCCUGGUAGUCCAUGCCGUAAACGAUGUCUACUAGCCGUUGGGGCCUUUGAGGCUUUAGUGGCGCAGCUAACGCGAUAAGUAGACCGCCUGGGGAGUACGNGNUCGNCNAAGACUAAAACUCAAAUGAAUUGACGGGGGCCCGCACAAGCGGUGGAGCAUGUGGUUUAAUUCGAUGCAACGCGAAGAACCUUACCUGGCCUUGACAUACUAAGAACUUUCCAGAGAUGGAUUGGUGCCUUCGGGAACUUAGAUACAGGUGCUGCAUGGCUGUCGUCAGCUCGUGUCGUGAGAUGUUGGGUUAAGUCCCGCAACGAGCGCAACCCUUUUCCUUAUUUGCCAUCGGGUAAUGCCGGGAACUUUAAGGAUACUGCCAGUGACAAACUGGAGGAAGGCGGGGACGACGUCAAGUCAUCAUGGCCCUUACGGCCAGGGCUACACACGUGCUACAAUGGUCGGUACAAAGGGUUGCUACCUCGCGAGAGGAUGCUAAUCUCAAAAAGCCGAUCGUAGUCCGGAUCGCAGUCUGCAACUCGACUGCGUGAAGUCGGAAUCGCUAGUAAUCGCGGAUCAGAAUGCCGCGGUGAAUACGUUCCCGGGCCUUGUACACACCGCCCGUCACACCAUGGGAGUUUGUUGCACCAGAAGUAGGUAGUCUAACCGCA
rnacentral:rRNA from 1 species